GCCACGGUGGCACAAUCUGGUACUGCGCAGGAUUGGAAAUCCUGUCCCUUUGGGAUUCCCGGUUCAAAUCCGGGCCGUGGCG
rnacentral:tRNA from 1 species